AUACGGAGGGUCCAAGCGUUAUCCGGAAUCAUUGGGUUUAAAGGGUGCGCAGGCGGUUUAUUAAGUCAGUGGUGAGAUCUCGGGGCUCAACUCUGAAACUGCCAUUGAUACUGAUAAACUUGAGUUCAGUUGGAGUAGGCGGAAUGUGUAGUGUAGCGGUGAAAUGCUUAGAUAUUACACAGAACACCGAUAGCGAAGGCAGCUUACUAAACUGAUACUGACGCUGAGGCACGAAAGCGUGGGGAGCGAACAGGAUUAGAAACCCUAGUAGUCC
rnacentral:rRNA from 1 species